GUCUCUCCCUUUGUUCUCUUGCCUUUUAUCUGCCGAGUUCUCUCCGCAGAGAUCCCUGCCCUUGCCCUGCCGCUUUUCCCUUCUUUUCUAAGCUUGCCCUUGCCCACCCCUGCUUCUGCAGGAAAACAACCAGCCACUCGCAUUCAGCGAUGCCCUCGCUAUUUACUGAUGUCAGUUCCCCCACUCAGAAUUCAUUUCCCUUUUGUUUGCCUUAGCUAGGGAGGUCCGUGAAAUUCGCAACAGUUUAUCCCUCAAUGAGAGCAGGGAAGAGAGAAGCCCCGCAUCCCGCACGUGGCGGGUCACCCACCCAUCCGUCCACCCAUCCGUCCAUCCAUCUAUCCAUCCAUCCGUCCAUCCAUCCAUCCAUCCAUCCAUCCAUCCGUGGCGCGGCGUGCCCGCAGCGCUCCCUCGGCUGAAGGCGGGAUGUGCUCCGGGCUGUGCGCGCUGAGUCACCGGCCGGGCUCAGCGCACCGGCCCCAGCGCAGCACAAGCGAUGCUGACAGCUCCCGUGCACAGCUAGCCUGAUCAAAGGCCAGCCUGUGUCUCCGGGGCAGCAGGAGGGCGAGAAGGGGCUGGGGCCCGGGGCAGCCCCAGCGCUCUUCCGGCUCACUCAGCCAGAACUGCCCCCGCAGUCCCUGCACGGGAGGGCCCCCAGCCCUGCUGUGGGUACACGGAGCUGCCUUGGCACAUAUGCCAGUCCUGCGGCGUGUGGGUGUGGUGCCUUCAGGAGCAGCCCCGGGAUGGGCCGGAGCGGGACAAGAUGAGGCAGGCAGGGAAAGAGAUGCUCCUGCCCGUGCUGUGCACAGCAGUUCCAGGGCGAAUCGGGAUGAUCAGACACGCUGCUUCACAGAACAGAAACACAGAGAUGCUCCCAGCAAAGAAACAGAAACCAAAGCAGAAAAAUGAGGCGUCUGCAGAAAUGCUUUGUUGGUGGACUGCUGAUGGGCACUGCUGGUUCUGCAGGGGCUCCCGUUCCUGUCGGGAUCUGCCUUUGCUGCCGUCUGCAGCCUCCUGGAGCUGCCUCUCCAGCAAGAAGCACACAGUGAUCACUGGCAGUGGUCCCUGGGGAUAUUACUGCACGAUGGGAAAAGCAGCUACAGCAGCGGCUGGGCGUGAUGCUGAAGAAGUCAUCUUCCUACUGUGUCCUUAAUACAAAUACUUUAUGGAAAAUGAAUCAGUCCUCUUUGGGCUUUUUUCCAGAGGCCCCUCUGACUAAUUUUGUCCAAAACAGCCGGGCUGACCCUGCACAGCAGUAUGACGGUGGCAGACAGGACCUGCUCACGUUUGGGUGGAGGCAGGGAAAAACUGUUUUGCAGGCCUGCCCAAAAAAAUCCUCAGGCUGACUCUGCCAAAAACCACACCAAACAUAUGGUAAAUGAAAUCGCUGGCAGGGAGCUGGCUUGGACGGCAGGAGUGUUUCAGCACUGUGGACUGCUUGUUAGCUGGCCUGAAUUGUAUUUAUGCUGCUUUAAGCAGCUCCAUAUUUAAGGAAAAGAAGGCAAAGGAGAAGGCACUGCCAAAUUUUUGGGUGUGCUUUUGAUGCCUCCCCAUGCACAUUAUUUUCUUGACAAUGUCAGUAUGGUCACAGUGCUUGUCCCAUCCUGUGGUUAAGAGCACAACAGCACCACAGAAGAUUUCACCUCCUCAUAUGGCAACAGUCUCCUGUGGAAAAGCAGACAGAAGGGCUUUUCUCUCUUGGAACAGGGACACUGCCUAUUUCACCAUAUGAAUGUCGUGUACAUUUCAUGGAGCUGAUGAAAUCAUGUACAGAUGGGAUCCAUCUUAACAAAGGCUCUUAUUCACAGGGCAGGUUUCUCUGUGGCGUUUCUUGGGCUGUAUCCCAGCUUGCAUAGCCAUAUCAACCAAAUGCAUCCACAGAGCCAGGCAAAUUUCUGAGAGGAUACCAGACACAGAGAUGCUGUGCCCCUGCUGCUGUGAACAGCUUGACUGACUUUGCAGCAGUUUGGCCCCUCUGGGAAUCUGAGCCUUGGAGUCAUGGCAAUAAACACGCUUUUCCUCACA
rnacentral:lncRNA from 1 species